AACGAACGCUGGCGGCGUGCUUAACACAUGCAAGUCGAACGGAAAGGCCCUGCUUUUGUGGGGUGCUCGAGUGGCGAACGGGUGCGUAACACGUGAGUAACCUGCCCUUGACUUUGGGAUAACUUCAGGAAACUGGGGCUAAUACCGGAUAGGAGCUCCUGCUGCAUGGUGGGCGUUGGAUAGUUUCGGCGGUUGGGGAUGGACUCGCGGCUUAUCAGCUUGUUGGUGGGGUAGUGGCUUACCAAGGCUUUGACGGAUAGCCGGCCUGAGAGGGUGACCGGCCACAUUGGGACUGAGAUACGGCCCAGACUCCUACGGGAGGCAGCAGUGGGGAAUAUUGCACAAUGGGCGGAAGCCGGAUGCAGCAACGCCGCGUGCGGGAUGACGGCCUUCGGGUUGUAAACCGCUUUCGCCUGUGACGAAGCGUGAGUGACGGUAAUGGGUAAAGAAGCACCGGCUAACUACGUG
rnacentral:rRNA from 1 species